rnacentral:lncRNA from 1 species
GGGGUUUGCACACAUUUGGGUUGCAUUCCAUUGCCAAAUGCUGGUGACUUUGGUGGAUGGUUUUGCCCAUGCCAUGGAUCACAUUAUGAUAUUUCUGGCAGAAUUAGGAAGGGACCAGCACCAUACAAUCUGGAGGUUCCUACGUACACCUUCUUGGAAGAAAACAAGUUGAUGAUUGGUUGAAAAUAAAAGUGGUUCUGCAUACAAGCGGGAUGAGUUUACAAUUUUUCAUUUAAAUUUAUUUGGAUAAUGUUACAAUGCACUUUUUGGACGUCUUUUGCCUGCAAGUUCUUGUUGGGUAUGUUUAGCAGGUGGUUUAUGUAGCUUCGAAAUUGUAACUGUUACCAUUUGUCGAGCUUAUACCAAUAAUCGCCUGACGUUUACUCAGCAUAUUGGCGACGGCUUCAAGAAUAUUGAAGUGUGCAUCAUGUAUAAACAUUUUCAAAUUUUGCUUAUCAAAUUGGUAUCUUGGGAGUUUACGGGUUCUUUGAACCUUCUUCCAAGGGAACCAGAAUCAGUGUAGUUGUUAGUCCUAUCUUCACAUAAUUUCAUUUCAAAGACUAAGUGAACGUGUGAAAAAUCCAGCUGCAGGGAAUUUGGUGGAAUGAAAAUUUUGAUUUCCUUUUUUGCUCUAAAACAAAUUUGGCUACAAGUAUUUCCAAGCGCAUAAUAAAAUAAAGCCAUCUAUUUUUUAUAUGAUUUUGAUCAUUGUCAUUUCUCAAUUACAAAAAUAGAUUUGAUCUCAAUAUUCUUUAGCAUUCCGAUUCUACCUCCUGAAGAAAAUAGCCAAUAGAUCAUCUUUCAAAGACGCCUUAACAUACACCAUGCCUUUUUCACUUAACUUGAGUUCCUUCCUCAUUUGCUCGACCUGUUGAUCAUCACCUUGGACAAUGAUCUCUGAUAAGUUUCCAUCAUUUCCAACAAUCAUUUUCACUUUAAUCUGCUCCUUUCUCGAUGCCCGAGUCCAAUAAUAAAGGGCUCUGCAUUAGCCCCCAAUGUAUUUUAGUAUCAGCAUAACAUGACAACAAAUAGUAACUCUCAAAACAAAAACACAAUGACCAUAUUGAAAUGAAAAAUAAAGUGUGGUGUAAUGUUAAUUUUCAGUGUGAUCACUUACGCCAAUGAACUCGAGAUGGUGAUCCAAAACCAGUAGUUGCCAACAUCUGGGAAGGUUAUGGUAAGCACAAGUGCCACACUUGCCAAGCUGAUGCAAGUGCAAAAAGUUAAUAGUGCCGCUUGACCUCUUGGAACCAUCAUUCCUUCAAACCUGCAAGGGAAAAUAGCUAUUAGCUUCAACUAAAUAGGUGAUGAAAACAUAAAAAGGGGAAGAGAGGUUUAACGUUUUAACUUGCUCACAAGGAAGCAUUUGUUAGAAGACAUGUUCUUGGCACCCCAGUGAGUAUUCUCAAUUUCUCAUUAUAUAAAAAAUGUUGGGAAAUCUCAAAAAUACAAAAUUAAAAAAGAGAGGGAAAAAAUAUAUCUCCACAUUUGUCUUAGCAGAGAUUUGAUAACAAAAACCAUAAUCUUUCAAAAUGACUAAAUUUCACCAUAAUUAGUGGGAGUCUGAAUAACCAAAGCGGAUGACCGAGGAUCACACGGAAAGUGUUUGCUCUUAGUGGUGUUGAUGCUGCACAGCCUGAUGAUCUCAUCCAAGGUAUGUGUUUCAUAAGUCAAGUUUCCUUGGUUGUAUUGUAUAAUUCAGGUGCAACACAUUUGUUUAUUUCUCGUGUUUGUGUUGAAAAGCUUGCUUUGCAUAUGUCUUCUUUGAAAUUUGACUUAAUUGUGGAUACACUUGCUAGUGGGUCUGUUUUAACUUCUGGUGUUUGCUUACAAUGUCCUGACAUAUUUUCUGAUAGACAGUUUUUGAUUGAUUUUGUUGUUUUACCUUUGAGUCAGAUCAAUGUUAUUUUUGGUAUGGAUUGGUUAUCUUUCAACCAUGUCUUAUUAAACUGUUUUGAGAAAUUUGUUGUCUUUCCUGAGUUUGGUGUGAGUGAAGGUGAUAUGUUUUUGCCUGCUAACCAAGUUGAGGCAUCUUUGAGGGAGGAUGCACAUGUAUAUAUGAUCUUAGCUAGUAUGAGUGCUGAGACCAAAACCCCUGUGAGUGAUAUACCCUUGGCAAAAGUGUUUCCGGAGGUGUUUGAGGAUGUGUAUGGAUUACCACCUGAGAGAGAGGUUGAGUUCUCCGUAGACCUAGGCCCGGUACUAGACCUAUAUCCAUAGCACCUUACAGGAUGUCCCCUGUAGAGCUGAGCAAGCUUAAGAAAUAGUUUGUGAGGCCUAGUGUGUCACCUUGGGGAGCGACGAUGUUGUUAGUUAAGAAGAAGGAUGGGACCAUGAGAUUAUGUGUAGACUAUCGUCGGCUGAACAAGGUGACGAUUAAGAAUAGGUACCCUUUGCCUAGGAUAGAUGACCUGAUGGACCAAUUAGUGGGGGCUUGCAUGUUUAGUAAAAUAGAUCUCAGGUCAGGUUACCACCAGAUUAGAGUGAAGUAUGAGGAUAUUUCGAAGACUGCCUUUAGGACCCGUUAUGACCAUUAUGAGUACUUGGUUAUGCCUUUUGGUGUGACCAAUGCCCCAAGUGUGUUUAUGAACUACAUGAAUAGGAUUUUUCAUCCAUACCUAGAUAGUUUUGUAGUGGUCUUCAUAGAUGAUAUCUUGGUGUAUUCCAAAACUAGGGGGGAACAUGAGAAGCAUCUGAGGGUCGUGUUGCAAACCCUUAAGGACAACAAACUAUAUGUUAAGUUGUCCAAGUGUGAGUUUUGGCUAGAAGAGGUGAGCUUCCUAAGACACGUUAUAUCCAGGGUAGAGGCGGUGAUGAUUUGGGAGAGUCCUAAGUUAGUGUCUGAGAUUAGGAGUUUCCUUGGUUUAGCAGGUUACUACAGUAGGUUCAUAGACUUUUCUUGGUUUAGCAAGUUAUUAUCAUAGGUUCAUUAAAUACGUAUAAUUUUCUUAUUUAAUUAAAUAUAACCAAAAAAAAAUUAAAAUUUUUUUCGGUGAUACAAUUACAAUAAUUGUAAUACAAAAUGCAACGACCUAAUUUACAUGAUUUAUAUGUGUGAGUAAUUGAUGUUCCCUUGUCACUUUUCACCCAGGUUUAGGCCCAAAAAGGAAUCAUAUAGUACCCAUUUUGGUGGCCCAUGUGUCAAAAUUAGAGACGCAAAUAAGAAGCCCACGUUGAUGAGUGAGUAGAUGGUUAUGGUAGCAACUUUUCCUUUUCCAUUUCCCUUUUAAUCGGAAGAAGAGCCACGCUGAGGCCUAAGAUCUCCGAAUUCCAAGCGCCUCUUGAUAGGGUCUCCCACCCUAACCAAGCCAGAUCCCGUUUUCAAUUCCUUCUCAGUUUCCUUUUCUCUGAAAAAACAUGUUGAGGGUUGCAGCUAGAAGGCUCUCUUCUUCUCUCUCAUCUUCUUCUCCGUUGCGGCCCAAUCACGCCGCUUCCGCUUUUCUCUCUCGAAACGACGUCGUCGUCGAUGACCGCAGAUCUGCUCCUUCCUCCCAUCCCCUUCUUCCCUUCAGAGGUUACACUUUUACCAAUUUGCCCCUCCUUUUAAAUCCAAUUAUUGGUAGCUUGAUUGCUUAAAUAAGAAAUUGUAGAUCGGUUGUGGACUGGGGGCUUGAGCUCUCAUGCUAUGAAAUUUGGUUUCAUGCUAUGUCUUGUCUUGUGUUGUUUUUUUUUUUUUUUAUCGGCAAAGGUUAGUUGUUAGUUUUUUUUUCUGGAGUUUAAUUAGUUGUUAGUUUGUUAGUUGAUUAGUUUUUGUUAUUGAGAGGAUUCGAACCCAUGACCUCUUCCCUUAAAUUACCAAGCCAACCUAUGUGUCGUGUUGUGUAUGCAGUUUCUAGUUUCUGCGUGUAAUAAAAAAAAUGAAAGAAAAGAGGUGCAAAAGGCUUUGAUUAUGUAGAGUUUGCUGAUGUAAUAAGAAAAUACAUGGCAAGGAACAGUUUCGUUCAACUUCGAAUCAGAAUGAUGAAUGAACUUCUUGAUUCUGUCAAUGGGUGCGGUGAUUUCAAUAAGCUGUUAGUGAAUGAAGUUUCUUUUUUAUUAUUUAAUAAUUUUAUUUGGAGGAAGACUAAACGUAUUAAAUGGGCUUAAUAUGAGUAGUAUUUCAGACAGCUUAAUGUGUGAUAUCUUUUUCUGCUUCUAUCUUAAGCUGCCUCUCGUCACUAGUCAGUAGCUACGGAGAAACACUUCAUUUGUUGAAUGAAUAAUUAUGUUAUCUAUAGUAUGCUAACAACAAAUAAUAAAAUAGCAUUUGCAUGUUAUUUUACUCUCAGGGUUUUACAUUUAUAGUCUUUAAUUGUGCCUGUGCCUAAUCUUUGUAAAAGAUUAAUGCUAACUGUACAAUCUUUAUUGAGCUCUUUUAUAGUCACUUUUAUUAAGAUAAUACCUAGGUGCAGUUCCUUACAUGUUUUUGGUACGGAUAUUCAACUUGUCUAUAGAAUACAACAAAAAUGUAUAAGAUAAUAGUUUCUUGUUGUUUAGUUUUGUAGCUUUUGAAUUGUGCUUAUUAGUCUUUGGAAAAGAGAAAUGCAAGUGAUAUUAAAUCCUUAAUACACUCUUUUUUAUUAGGAUCAUUUAGAUGCACUUCUUUAGGUGUCAAAAUUGAAGUUUGUUUUCCCCAAUAAAGGUUAACAUUUAAAUUUGGUGUUGAAACAGUAAGAUGAAUCCCCAAUUUUUAUUGGAAAACUUCACCUAAAGCAUGUAAAGACCUACACCUAAGUUUUGUCUUUUCUAUUAUUUUCUUGAAAUUUAUUGGAAAUCACCCAAUUGUAUAUAGUGGAACUCAUGCAAAUGUGUUUAAAUUGCAAUCACAGUCACGGUUUUGUCACAUUCCUUGAUAUUUUAGAAAAUUGCAAACAGAUGUGGCCAAUGCGAUCAUGAUUGCGGUCGUAGACACACCAAAAACCUUGAUGUCGCGGCUAAAAUUGCAGUUGCAAACCGAUUUUUGAAACCUUGGUUCCAAUACUUAUUUAAUUCGCAAUUUUGUAGCUUUCAAUAAAUUUUAACUAAUAUUAGAGAAUGUGUUCAAAGUGUGCUAGAGAAUGUAUUGCUAGCACUUCUCUUUUGGAAAAUGGCUCCUUCAAUUAGAAUGAAGCAUGCUUUUUUCUCUUGUAAUCGAUUUAUUAUUAUUUUUUCAACCAAAUGAACUCUAGUAAUUGAUGUAACUUGAUUUUGUCUAGGUUAUGCUACUGAAUCCCUGAUCCACACAAAAGAAAACAGCAUUACUCCUGAGAUUCCGCCAACUGUUACUGCUGUUAAGAACCCUACUUCUAAGAUUGUCUAUGAUGAUCACAACCAUGAAAGAUUUCCCCCAGGUGACCCAAGCAAGAGGGCAUUUGCCUACUUCGUACUUACAGGUGGUAGGUUUGCUUAUGCCUCUGUGGUCCGUCUCCUUGUCCUCAAGUUUGUGCUAAGCAUGUCUGCCAGUAAGGAUGUUCUUGCUCUGGCUUCACUUGAGGUUGACCUCUCCAGCAUUGAGCCUGGCACUACAGUGACUGUUAAGUGGCGUGGAAAGCCUGUGUUCAUCAGGCGCCGAACUGAGGACGAUAUCAAGCUUGCAAAUAGUGUUGAUGUUGGAUCUCUUCGCGAUCCCCAGCCGGAUGCAGAUAGAGUCAAGGACCCAGAAUGGCUCAUUGUUAUUGGGGUUUGCACACAUUUGGGUUGCAUUCCAUUGCCAAAUGCUGGUGACUUUGGUGGAUGGUUUUGCCCAUGCCAUGGAUCACAUUAUGAUAUUUCUGGCAGAAUUAGGAAGGGGCCAGCACCAUACAAUCUGGAGGUUCCUACGUACACCUUCUUGGAAGAAAACAAGUUGAUGAUUGGUUGAAAAUAAAAAUGGUUCUGCAUACAAGCGGGAUGAGUUUACAAUUUUUCAUUUAAAUUUAUUUGGAUAAUGUUACAAUGCACUUUUUGGACGUCUUUUGCCUGCAAGUUCUUGUUGGG